rnacentral:rRNA from 1 species
UGGGGAAUAUUGCGCAAUGGGGGGAACCCUGACGCAGCCAUGCCGCGUGAAUGAAGAAGGCCUUCGGGUUGUAAAGUUCUUUCGGUAUUGAGGAAGGUUGAUGUGUUAAUAGCACAUCAAAUUGACGUUAAAUACAGAAGAAGCACCGGCUAACUCCGUGCCAGCAGCCGCGGUAAUACGGAGGGUGCGAGCGUUAAUCGGAAUAACUGGGCGUAAAGGGCACGCAGGCGGUUAUUUAAGUGAGGUGUGAAAGCCCUGGGCUUAACCUAGGAAUUGCAUUUCAGACUGGGUAACUAGAGUACUUUAGGGAGGGGUAGAAUUCCACGUGUAGCGGUGAAAUGCGUAGAGAUGUGGAGGAAUACCGAAGGCGAAGGCAGCCCCUUGGGAAUGUACUGACGCUCAUGUGCGAAAGCGUGGGGGGCAAACAGGAUUAGAUACCCUGGUAGUCCACGCUGUAAACGCUGUCGAUUUGGGGAUUGGGCUUAGAGCUUGGUGCCCGUAGCUAACGUGAUAAAUCGACCGCCUGGGGAGUACGGCCGCAAGGUUA